CCUACGGGUGGCAGCAGUGGGGAAUAUUGGACAAUGGGGGCAACCCUGAUCCAGCCAUGCCGCGUGUGUGAAGAAGGCCCUCGGGUUGUAGAGCACUUUCAGUGAGGAAGAACGCCUGGUGGUUAAUACCCAUCAGGAAAGACAUCACUCACAGAAGAAGCACCGGCUAACUCCGUGCCAGCAGCCGCGGUAAUACGGAGGGUGCGAGCGUUAAUCGGAAUUACUGGGCGUAAAGCGCGCGUAGGUGGCUUGAUAAGCCGGUUGUGAAAGCCCCGGGCUCAACCUGGGAACGGCAUCCGGAACUGUCAAGCUAGAGUGCAGGAGAGGAAGGUAGAAUUCCCGGUGUAGCGGUGAAAUGCGUAGAGAUCGGGAGGAAUACCAGUGGCGAAGGCGGCCUUCUGGACUGACACUGACACUGAGGUGCGAAAGCGUGGGUAGCAAACAGGAUUAGAUACCCUAGUAGUC
rnacentral:rRNA from 1 species